GGUUUCUCGUGAAAUUUGAGUAAAACAAGCACUCGCUCUUCAGUUUUUCAAAGACAUCAAAAACUCACUCGUGCAUGUUUUAUCCAAAUUGCACUCGAAACAAUUCUAUCGGCCUAUUGGCUAUAGCCUACUACUAUGCUAGAAAGUAGGUACAUUAAUUAUAACUCUGGGGGCCGGUUGUAUAAAAAAGUGAUUAAAGUUAACUAUGAUUAAGUGCAAACGUCAUCCAAUAAGAAGCGCCAUUUGAGAGUUAAUCACUAUUUAACUACGAAAUAGUGAUUCAAAAAGAGAUUAAGAGUUUUAUACAACUGGCCCCUGAUAUGUAUCUACUCUUGUUAUAACGGUCCUCGUGUUCGUGUCACGUAAGCAAAUAAUUGCUUACAAACAAGAUUAACAAAUUAAUGUUAAGCAAAAAGCUUAGAACGUAUCGAGUCAGACUGAUUGUUCAAAGAUGGCUUCAGUUCCCUAAUGUAAAGCAUCUCGUAGAGAAGACACUCGUAGGCCUAUACUUUCCUCGACACUUGCACAAAACCAAUUUCGGUCCUUUUAUUCAUUCACUAGCUAUAUUUUUCGCGCGUAUAUCUACGUCUGAAAAACACUUAACUGGACUGUUCAAGCGCUUUCAAACACUGUUUUUUAUAAAUUCAAUGGCUUUCAAGACCUAAUCUUUUUCUAAAAAUUAUAGUGCUAUAAAAGUGGGACUACGCCGCAGACAGGAUUACGUCAAGAAAAGAUAUAAAGAAGAUUAAGACUGAGUCUGAAGAAGUUAACAUGGGCAGGUACUCACUAGGUAGGUAAAACUUUAUUUUACUACGCUAACCCCUACAGCAAAUUUACCCGAAAAAUUUAGAAAAAUAAACAUACAAAUACAGUUAAUUACAUGCAGUUAUUACAAUGACAUACAUAUUAAAUAGGUUAUAGUAAAUAUUAAUAGAUUAAAUAGAGAAGGUAAAUA